GGACCAUUUUAUGAUUUUUACUGAGGGAACACGCAGACCCUCACUGAGAAGGAUUUCUUCUAGUUUUAUUUUGCCAGCUUCAAGCUAUUUACUGGCAGUUGGUUAUUAUUUCUACAUUCCAGAAAUCAAGUGUGGCUCCUAUUUCAUGGAAAGACUGAUCCACGUCCGAUUCCAUGUCAUUCAUUCUGAAGGGGGCGCUAUUCACGCUAUUUAUUCUGAGUGAACUACUCUACGUGAUUGUGAUCUCGGAUCUGCUUUGUGACCCCAAUCUGGGUGAGGGGGAGGUGAUACGAGCGUUCCAUUCUGCGAUACAUGGAUUCAUAGACAGUCCAUCGAUGACGAUUAAGUGAUCAACGAUCAACGUUUGUUCGAUGUCAGUAAGUCUUUUCGACCGGUAAGCGGAUAUCGUUUUCAAGGAACAUCUAUAUGCUCUACGUUGGUGUUUACUCACUACGGAACUUUACUCGAUGAGCAUCGCUCUGAUUCCGAAAUCGCAUAUGCCAAAGACAAUGAUUGAACUGGACUAAAACAAGCUAUUUCCACCUGAAAUAAUUGUAUAUGAGCUCAAAGGUCAUGCCGGUCCGGUUUUGAUAUUAAUAAUCCUUUUUCCAAAAUUUACAUAUCAAAGUGUAAUCUGUCACUCUAGGGGUUUUAGUCUUUGUAUUUCAUAUUCAUUUCACUUGUAGUUAUGAAUGAUGUACUUCGACUAGAGUUAAAGGAAUUUACAAAGAGGAGUGAUUGACUGUAAACCUUGAAAAGGUGAUAGUUUGAAUAUUCUGUUAAUAAAGCUAAACUUAAAUUUAAA